ACAUACGACCAUAGGUGCAAGAAAACACGGGAUCCCGUCCGCUCUCCCUUAGUUAACCUUGCAACCGGCAGAUUAGUAGCUGGGUUGGUGACAACCAGCGAACACCGGCUGUUGUAUGUU
rfam:Stachybotrys chlorohalonata IBT 40285 unplaced genomic scaffold scaffold869, whole genome shotgun sequence.